GGCCACAGCCAUGUCACCCUGCAGCCCAAGACAUGUUACUCACUGAAGCUAAGCAGGGCUGAGCCUGGUCAGUACCUGGAUGGGAGACCACUAGGGAACACUAGGUUGCUGUUGGAA
rnacentral:rRNA from 1 species